rnacentral:rRNA from 1 species
AACGCUGGCGGCAUGAUCCUAACACAUGCAAGUCGAGCGGCAGCAGCAGGAGCUUGCUCCUGGCUGGCGAGCGGCGGACGGGUGAGUAACGCGUGGGAAUCUGCCCUUCGGUGGGGGAUAGCCCGGGGAAACUCGGAUUAAUACCGCAUACGCCCUACGGGGCAAAGUGGCCCUCUGAUUCAAGGUCACGCCGAAGGAUGAGCCCGCGUCCGAUUAGCUAGUUGGUGGGGUAAAGGCCUACCAAGGCGACGAUCGGUAGCUGGUUUGAGAGGAUGAUCAGCCACAUGGGACUGAGACACGGCCCAGACUCCUACGGGAGGCAGCAGUGGGGAAUAUUGGACAAUGGGCGAAAGCCUGAUCCAGCAAUGCCGCGUGUGUGAAGAAGGCCUGCGGGUUGUAAAGCACUUUCAGCAGGGAGGAAAAGCUUACGGUUAAUACCCGUGAGUCUUGACGUUACCUGCAGAAGAAGCACCGGCUAACUCCGUGCCAGCAGCCGCGGUAAUCGGAGGGUGCGAGCGUUAAUCGGAAUUACUGGGCGUAAAG